GACGAACGCUGGCGGCGUGCUUAACACAUGCAAGUCGAACUAAGUGGCGAACGGGUGAGUAACGCGUAAUCAACCUGCCCUUCAGAGGGGGACCACAGGUGGAAACGACUGCUAAUACCACAUACUGCAGGAGGGGCUUGCGUCUGAUUAGCUAGGUGGGUGGGUAACGGCCCACCAGGGCGAUGAUCAGUAGCUGGUCUGAGAGUGUGAACGGCAACAUUGGGACUGAGACACGGCCCAGACUCCUACGGGAGGCAGCAGUGGGGAAUCGUCCGCAAUGGACGAAAGUCUGACGGAGCAACGCCGCGUGAGUGAUGACGGCCUGCGGGUUGUAAAGUUCUGUUAAUCGGGACGCGGUACCGAAAUAGAAAGCCACGGCUAACUACGUGCCAGCAGCCGCGGUAAUAC
rnacentral:rRNA from 1 species